rnacentral:rRNA from 1 species
GGGCGUUAAGUUGCAGGGUAUAGACCCGAAACCCGGUGAUCUAGCCAUGGGCAGGUUGAAGGUUGGGUAACACUAACUGGAGGACCGAACCGACUAAUGUUGAAAAAUUAGCGGAUGACUUGUGGCUGGGGGUGAAAGGCCAAUCAAACCGGGAGAUAGCUGGUUCUCCCCGAAAGCUAUUUAGGUAGCGCCUCGUGAAUUCAUCUCCGGGGGUAGAGCACUGUUUCGGCAAGGGGGUCAUCCCGACUUACCAACCCGAUGCAAACUGCGAAUACCGGAGAAUGUUAUCACGGGAGACACACGGCGGGUGCUAACGUCCGUCGUGAAGAGGGAAACAACCCAGACCGCCAGCUAAGGUCCCAAAGUCAUGGUUAAGUGGGAAACGAUGUGGGAAGGCCCAGACAGCCAGGAUGUUGGCUUAGAAGCAGCCAUCAUUUAAAGAAAGCGUAAUAGCUCACUGGUCGAGUCGGCCUGCGCGGAAGAUGUAACGGGGCUAAACCAUGCACCGAAGCUGCGGCAGCGACACUGUGUGUUGUUGGGUAGGGGAGCGU